AUUGAACGCUGGCGGCAGGCCUAACACAUGCAAGUCGAACGAGUGGCGGACGGGUGAGUAAUGUCUGGGAAACUGCCUGAUGGAGGGGGAUAACUACUGGAAACGGUAGCUAAUACCGCAUACCAUCAGAUGUGCCCAGAUGGGAUUAGCUCGUAGGUGGGGUAACGGAUCACCUAGGCGCCGAUCCCUAGCUGGUCUGAGAGGAUGACCAGCCACACUGGAACUGAGACACGGUCCAGAUGCCGACGGUAGGAAGCAGGGGGGAAUAUUGCACAAUGGGCGCAAGCCUGAUGCAGCCAUGCCGCGUGGGUGAAGAAGGCCUUCGGGUUGUAAAGCACGUUCAGCGGGGAGGCGUUACCCGCAGAAGAAGCACAGGCGAACUCCGUGCCAGCAGCCGCGGUAAUAC
rnacentral:rRNA from 1 species